rnacentral:rRNA from 1 species
UGGGGAAUUUUGGACAAUGGGCGAAAGCCUGAUCCAGCAAUGCCGCGUGUGUGAAGAAGGCCUUCGGGUUGUAAAGCACUUUUGUCCGGAAAGAAAUCCUUGGCUCUAAUACAGUCGGGGGAUGACGGUACCGGAAGAAUAAGCACCGGCUAACUACGUGCCAGCAGCCGCGGUAAUACGUAUGGUGCAAGCGUUAAUCGGAAUUACUGGGCGUAAAGCGUGCGCAGGCGGUUUGCUAAGACCGAUGUGAAAUCCCCGGGCUCAACCUGGGAACUGCAUUGGUGACUGGCAGGCUAGAGUAUGGCAGAGGGGGGUAGAAUUCCACGUGUAGCAGUGAAAUGCGUAGAGAUGUGGAGGAAUACCGAUGGCGAAGGCAGCCCCCUGGGCCAAUACUGACGCUCAUGCACGAAAGCGUGGGGAGCAAACAGGAUUAGAUACCCUGGUAGUCCACGCCCUAAACGAUGUCAACUAGUUGUUGGGGAUUCAUUUCCUUAGUAACGUAGCUAACGCGUGAAGUUGACCGCCUGGGGAGUACGGUCGCAAGAUUAAAACUCAAAUGAAUUGACGGGGUCAUAGCUGUUUCCU